AUCACCAUACCAUUUUUAAUUUCAUGAAAACAGAACAACGCUUAAUAAAUCCUAAAAACACAUUCGCGCUCUGCUCUCACUCCCCUCUCUCAGUGAGCUUUGCUUUCACAUUGUCUCCCUCAUCGUCCCCGCACACCCUCUCGUACCCACCACUGUUCUUCCGCUGAGCAGCUGCCGCCAUCUUCCUUCUUCCUCGCACUCCCUCCCUUGCGACAUUGUCUUCUGCGAAGGGUAAAACGUUUUCCCACGCCACCGUCACUCAGUCACUCCCACAACCUCAAAAAGCUUUUCGCAGUCCCUCGCCGCAGUGAGCGCGCCAAACUCCAAUGAAGGUCCUUGCCACUGUUGAGAUAUGAGGUUUUUCAAUUAGCCUUCCUUGACAGGGUCUGCAAGCUGUCACCAAAAAGCAAAAAUAUGACAAAAUUUGCAAAAAGAAGUUAUCAACUCCCAUUGAGAUACCAACAUAACUGUAAUUAGGAGGUUUUGUUGAGCGGUGCAUGUUGUCAAAUGAAGCAUCAAGCAUACAUGUGACAGGCUAAGGGGCAAAUGAUUGAUACGUGUCAUUGGAAAGAAGGGAAGACACUCUUUUGGCAAUGAAUGGGUUGGCACUGUUUAGCAGAAAAAAGAAACAGAGCUGUGAAGCGGCAAUUGUUUGGAACAACACAAAACUUCAAAGGAUUUUGGCCAGCCUGAUUAAUAACAUUGCAUGUGGUUUGGAUACAGUUGCAUUGAAUGUUAUAAUAAAGGCUUUUGAUGGAGGUGGUUAGGGAUAGUUGGUGUGUUUUUUACAUGGCCUCCAAGAAUUGAAGUGGUUUAUUUCCAUCUCGGAUGCUAAUGCCUCAUCGAAAUAUUAAUCAACUUAAAUUUUAAAA